UACGUAGGGUGCGAGCGUUAAUCGGAAUUACUGGGCGUAAAGUGUGCGCAGGCGGCCGCGCAAGUCGAGUGUGAAAGCCCCGAGCUUAACUUGGGAAUUGCGCUCGAAACUACGUGGCUGGAGUGUGGCAGAGGAAGGUGGAAUUCCACGUGUAGCGGUGAAAUGCGUAGAGAUGUGGAGGAACACCAAUGGCGAAGGCAGCCUUCUGGGCCAACACUGACGCUCAUGCACGAAAGCGUGGGGAGCAAAAGGG
rnacentral:rRNA from 1 species